rnacentral:rRNA from 1 species
GGCCCCGCCCCCUCCCCCUGCACCGCCAUCGUCCCCGUCACGCCCGGCUCCGGCGGCGGGCCCUCCUCCGAGAAGCGCCGCGGCCGGCCCCCCGGCUCCGGCAAGAUGCAGCAGCUCGCCUCCCUCGGGAAAUCGUUCCUCGGCACCGUCGGCACCGGGUUCACGCCCCAUGUCAUCAUCAUCCCAUCAGGAGAGGAUGUCGCAGCCAGGAUAAUGUCCUUCUCGCAACAGGGCCCAAGGGCGGUCUGCAUCAUGUCAGCAUCAGGGGCUGUCUCCACAGCAACCCUUCAUCAGGAUGCAGGUUCCGGCAGUGUAGUUAAAUAUGAGGGUCGAUUCGAAAUCCUGUGCCUCUCUGGAUCAUACCUAGUUAUAGAUGACGGUGUUACGCGCACACGAAACGGAGGGCUAUGCAUAGCGCUGUGUGGCGCUGAUCACAGGGUUAUUGGAGGAAGCGUUGGUGGAGUCCUGACAGCAGCCGGGACAGUUCAGGUGAUCGUGGGGAGCUUCAUGUACGCGGGGUCGAAGAAGAGCAGGAAGGGCAAGGCCGGGCAGGAGCCUGCUGCAGCAGAGGAAGAACAGACCGGCGAUGCCAACGGGGGCAGGGGCGGAGACGGAGUCGGAGUUGGAGGCGAGGCGGAGGAAGAGGGCCCUUCGCCGCUGAUGCCGAUGCCCCGCGGAGAGGAGAAGCUGCCGUCGGACGCGAUGAUGAGCGGAUGGACGGGCAUGAUGCGGCAGAUGGAGUCGCGGUCCUGCGGCAUCGACAUCAACUCGAUCCGGGAGUGA